UUCUUAUUGGAUGAUAACUUUCACGUGUCAUGUUCUGAAUGUCAACUCUAUGAAAGAUGAAAUGCAUUAUUGUUUUCAUUGAUUAAUUAGAACAUGACACGUGACAGUCAUCAUCU
rfam:Glycine max cultivar Williams 82 chromosome 11, whole genome shotgun sequence.